AACGAACGCUGGCGGCAUGCCUAACACAUGCCAGUCGAACGAGACCUUCGGGUCUAGUGGCGCAAGGGUGCGUAACGCGUGGGAACCUGCCCUUAGGUUCGGAAUAACUCCCCGAAAGGGGUGCUAAUACCGGAUAAUGUCUUCGGACCAAAGAUUUAUCGCCUUUGGAUGGGCCCGCGUUGGAUUAGCUAGUCGGUAGGGUAAAAGCCUACCAAGGCGACGAUCCAUAGCUGGUCUGAGAGGAUGAUCAGCCACACUGGGACUGAGACACGGCCCAGACUCCUACGGGAGGCAGCAGUGGGGAAUAUUGGACAAUGGGCGAAAGCCUGAUCCAGCAAUGCCGCGUGAGUGAUGAAGGCCUUAGGGUUGUAAAGCUCUUUUACCCGGGAUGAUAAUGACAGUACCGGGAGAAUAAGCUCCGGCUAACUCCGUG
rnacentral:rRNA from 1 species